rnacentral:rRNA from 1 species
UUUAUGGAGAGUUUGAUCCUGGCUCAGGAUGAACGCUGGCGGCGUGCCUAAUACAUGCAAGUCGAGCGAACGGACGAGAAGCUUGCUUCUCUGAUGUUAGCGGCGGACGGGUGAGUAACACGUGGAUAACCUACCUAUAAGACUGGGAUAACUUCGGGAAACCGGAGCUAAUACCGGAUAAUAUUUUGAACCUCAUGGUUCAAAAGUGAAAGACGGUCUUGCUGUCACUUAUAGAUGGAUCCGCGCUGCAUUAGCUAGUUGGUAAGGUAACGGCUUACCAAGGCAACGAUGCAUAGCCGACCUGAGAGGGUGAUCGGCCACACUGGAACUGAGACACGGUCCAGACUCCUACGGGAGGCAGCAGUAGGGAAUCUUCCGCAAUGGGCGAAAGCCUGACGGAGCAACGCCGCGUGAGUGAUGAAGGUCUUCGGAUCGUAAAACUCUGUUAUUAGGGAAGAACAUAUGUGUAAGUAACUGUGCACAUCUUGACGGUACCUAAUCAGAAAGCCACGGCUAACUACGUGCCAGCAGCCGCGGUAAUACGUAGGUGGCAAGCGUUAUCCGGAAUUAUUGGGCGUAAAGCGCGCGUAGGCGGUUUUUUAAGUCUGAUGUGAAAGCCCACGGCUCAACCGUGGAGGGUCAUUGGAAACUGGAAAACUUGAGUGCAGAAGAGGAAAGUGGAAUUCCAUGUGUAGCGGUGAAAUGCGCAGAGAUAUGGAGGAACACCAGUGGCGAAGGCGACUUUCUGGUCUGUAACUGACGCUGAUGUGCGAAAGCGUGGGGAUCAAACAGGAUUAGAUACCCUGGUAGUCCACGCCGUAAACGAUGAGUGCUAAGUGUUAGGGGGUUUCCGCCCCUUAGUGCUGCAGCUAACGCAUUAAGCACUCCGCCUGGGGAGUACGACCGCAAGGUUGAAACUCAAAGGAAUUGACGGGGACCCGCACAAGCGGUGGAGCAUGUGGUUUAAUUCGAAGCAACGCGAAGAACCUUACCAAAUCUUGACAUCCUUUGACAACUCUAGAGAUAGAGCCUUCCCCUUCGGGGGACAAAGUGACAGGUGGUGCAUGGUUGUCGUCAGCUCGUGUCGUGAGAUGUUGGGUUAAGUCCCGCAACGAGCGCAACCCUUAAGCUUAGUUGCCAUCAUUAAGUUGGGCACUCUAAGUUGACUGCCGGUGACAAACCGGAGGAAGGUGGGGAUGACGUCAAAUCAUCAUGCCCCUUAUGAUUUGGGCUACACACGUGCUACAAUGGACAAUACAAAGGGCAGCGAAACCGCGAGGUCA